rnacentral:miRNA from 1 species
GCUGUGGCGAUCUGGCACUGUGGUUCCUGCAUGAAAACAGUGGCUGGUGGUGCCUGGACCUACAACACCACUUCUGCCGUCACAGUCAAGUCUGC